UUUGUCAUGAUGGAGGCUGGUACAUCCUUUCUCCUGGAUGAAGUUUGUUGCAAAGCCAAGCUUGAUUAAGAAGCACUUGGAGAAGAGACAUAGAAAAGCUGCAGUCAUGCUAUCAGUCUGUUUUAAGGCCAGUUGGAAUGAAGUCAUGCAAUGGAUUCAGUUUGGCUGGGUGAAAAAAACAUCCCAUAUUUGCAUUGUUAUAGUCCUUCAUCAUUCACAUUUGAUCUAUCUGGCAUUUGAUACAAGAUACAGGCACGGACAAUUUGCCUCAAACUGCUACAAUGUUUACAGAAGAGAGAUCAUCCAAGAUAGAGCUAAGAAAAUGUUAUCUUGAAUUUCCAGACUUCUGGAAACCUGUUCUGAGAAGGUGAGUGCAGAUUUGUAUGACUGGAAUGGUAUCCUUUGCUCCUCUCUUUGGAGGGCACAUUCUUUUUCUUAUUAUUAAUGUGACUAAUUGCGGUGGUGUGUUUUUCUUUCAUUUAAUAUUUGUUUAAUAUCUGUUUCCCCCCCCAACCCCCCAAUCUCCUCCUCUCCCCAGUGUCAGUCUUCCCUAGCUCUCCCCUAACCCCCCCCUCAUCUCCAAGUGGUCAAUCCUCCCUUUCCCUGCCCCUUUCCCUGGAACAUUCCCUGUCAUGUUAGUUCUGCCCUAAACUCCUCCCCUGCUAUUCCCUUAGUGGUUACUGUUCCUACACCCCUCCUCCUGAGUUCUGUAUAAAACCUCUGCUCCCGCCCCCGAGGGGGUCUUGGGGCUCAGUGAAUAAAACCAUCCUGUUCACCCCCCA
rnacentral:lncRNA from 1 species